rnacentral:rRNA from 1 species
AAGGAUUCCCCUAGUAACUGCGAGUGAAGAGGGAAAAGCUCAAAUUUAAAAUCUGGCGGGCUCUGCUCGUCCGAGUUGUAAUCUGGAGAAGCGUUUUCCGCGUCGGACCGUGCACAAGUCUCCUGGAACGGAGCGUCAUAGAGGGUGAGAAUCCCGUCCAUGGCACGGAGCGCCGAUGCUUUGUGAUACGUUUUCAAAGAGUCGAGUUGUUUGGGAAUGCAGCUCAAAACGGGUGGUAAAUUCCAUCUAAAGCUAAAUAUUGGCGAGAGACCGAUAGCGAACAAGUACCGUGAGGGAAAGAUGAAAAGCACUUUGGAAAGAGAGUUAAACAGUACGUGAAAUUGUUGAAAGGGAAACGCUUGAAGUCAGUCGCGUCCGACGGAACUCAGCCUUGCUUCGGCCUGGUGUACUUUCUGUCGGACGGGUCAACAUCAGUUUUGACCGGUGGAGAAAGGUAGGGGGAAUGUAGCGCCGUUUCGGCGGCGUGUUAUAGCCCCUUGCUGUAUGCAUCGGUCGGGACUGAGGACCGCAGCACGCCUUUUUGGCCGGGGGUUCGCCCUACGUACCGUGCUUAGGAUGUUGGCAUAAUGGCUUUAGCGAC